CCUACGGGAGGCAGCAGUGGGGAAUCUUGCGCAAUGCGCGAAAGCGUGACGCAGCAACGCCGCGUGGGGGAAGAAGGCCUUCGGGUUGUAAACCCCUUUCAGGAGGGACGAAGGUGCGGCGGCGAACAGCCGACCGUACUGACGGUACCUCCAGAAGAAGCCCCGGCUAACUACGUGCCAGCAGCCGCGGUAAUACGUAGGGGGCAAGCGUUGUCCGGAAUCAUUGGGCGUAAAGCGCGCGUAGGCGGCCCGAUAAGUCCGCUGUAAAAGUCCAGGGCUCAACCCUGGAAAGCCGGUGGAUACUGUCGGGCUCGAGUCCGGAAGAGGCGAGUGGAAUUCCUGGCGUAGCGGUGGAAUGCGCAGAUAUCAGGAGGAACACCGAUAGCGAAGGCAGCUCGCUGGGACGGUACUGACGCUAAGGCGCGAAAGCGUGGGGAGCAAACAGGAUUAGAUACCCUGGUAGUCCACGCUGUAAACGAUGGGCACUAGGUGUGGGAGGUGUCGACUCCUCCCGUGCCGGCGCUAACGCAUUAAGUGCCCCGCCCUCGGGGAGUACGGGCCGGCGAAGGCGUAAAACUACAAAGGAAAUUAGACGG
rnacentral:rRNA from 1 species